CGGGCGGUGAAGUCCCAGGUCGGGGCGUCCUCCAGCAGGUACUGCUCGCCGAACUGGUCGCCGUCGGCGAGCACGUCGAGCCGGUCGGUGCUGCCGUAGCGGCCGGUCGCGAUCCGGCUCACCCGGCCGUGCACGAUCAGGUACAGGCGGUCGACGGUGUCGCCCUCCGAGACCAGGAUCUGGCCCGGCUCGAACUCCCGCUGCUCGAAGCGGCCGGCGAGGUCGGUGAGCACCUCCUCGUCGUCGAAGCCGCGCAGCAGGGCCAGCUCGCCGAGCUCGCGGGGGAUGACCUGGACGCGCGAACCCGUCUGGUGGAACUCGAUGCGGCCGUCGCCGAGGGUGUAGGUCAACCGCCGGUUGACCCGGUAGACGCCGCCCUCGGUCUGCACCCAGGGCAGGGUCUUGAGCACCCAGCGGGAGCUCUUGCCCUGCAUCUGCGGGGCGGAUUUGGUGGUGGUGGCCAGAUUCCGCGCGGCGGCGGUGCUCAGGCUCUUCUGCUGACCGGUACG
rnacentral:antisense_RNA from 1 species